rnacentral:hammerhead_ribozyme from 1 species
GCAUUACUGAAGAGUCCCAAAAUAGGACGAAACAACUGCCUAGUAC